GAUGAACUGUGGGUAGCGGAGAAAUUCCAAUCGAACCCGGAGAUAGCUGGUUCUCUCCGAAAUAGCUUUAGGGCUAGCCUUGAAAUAGAUUACCGGAGGUAAAGCACUGAAUUGGCUAGGGGCCGAGAGGUUACUGAACCUUAUCAAACUAAGAAUGCCGGAUAAUCGUUUUUCAGGAGUCAGACAGUGGGAGAUAAGUUUCAUUGUCAAAAGGGAAACAGCCCAGACCCACAGCUAAGGUCCCCAAGUAUAGUUAAGUGGAAAAGGAUGUGGAAUUGCACAGACAACCAGGAUGUUGGCUUAGAAGCAGCCACUCAUUUAAAGAGUGCGUAAUAGCUCACUGGUCGAGUGACUCUGCGCCGAAAAUUUAACGGGGCUAAACUAUACACCGAAGCUUGGGAUACAUCUAAUGUAUGGUAGGAGAGCGUUCUGUAUGGGGAGAAGUCGUAGCGAAAGCGGCGGUGGACUAUACAGAAGUGAGAAUGCCGGAAUAAGUAGCGAGAAUUAAGUGAGAAUCUUAAUGGCCGAAAGUCUAAGGUUUUUGGAGGAAGGUUCGUCCGCUCCAAGUAAGUCGGGAGCUAAGGUCAGGCCGAAAGGCGUAGCCGAUGCACAUACGGUUGAUAUUCCGUAACCAUCUGUAAUUUAAGCAAAGGGACACUUCAAAAGGGUGUGACCCGGGCGUUGGUUGACCCGGGCGUAAGGGACCGAAAUUAGAGUAGGGAAGCACACUUAGCUGAAGGCGAGAAAAGCUUUGCGUAUAGAAACAGAUGCCCGUACCGCAAACCGACACAGGUGGACAGGAAGAGAAUUCUAAGGCCAGCGGGAGAAGGGUAGUUAAGGAACUCGGCAAAUUGACUCCGUAACUUCGGAAUAAGGAGUGCUCGAAAGAGCCGCAGAGAAUAGGCCCAGGCGACUGUUUAGCAAAAACACAGGUCUCUGCCAAAUCGAAAGAUGAAGUAUAGGGGCUGACACCUGCCCGGUGCCGGAAGGUUAAGAGGAGAGCUAAUCGCAAGAGAAGGCUUGAAUUGAAGCCCCGGUAAACGGCGGCCGUAACUAUAACGGUCCUAAGGUAGCGAAAUUCCUUGUCAGGUAAG
rnacentral:rRNA from 1 species